UCGAGACAGAACCAGAGUUCUUAGAGAGUUGAUUCAACUUCUUGCUAACGCUCUAUACCAAUUACAGAUUCCCCAUCUUAAAGUCAUUCUUAAAUCAUCACUCGCUAUCUACCUUGAAUGCGAUCUUCUUCAUGCGAGGAGGCGGUAUAACAUAAAAGGCGAUCUUCCUUCCAAUCUGAAGACCGGACGAUGCUCCUCCACCUUUCAAGUCCGGUUUCUCCGCUUCUGGGAGGCCAGGAACGUCCGACGCGGCGGCAAACUCAUGGGAGUCGACAUGUUGCUGCUUGAUUUCCAGUACCGGCAACUUCCACGUUCUCAGAAGACGCCAUUCCAAAAGACGUGUACUCUAUCUAUUAUCUCCGAUUGGUGAUUUUAAUCUUAUAAGUUCUGUUUCAGAUUGAUGACUGAUACAUUCAGUACAAACAUUUGUUUUAGUUUGAGAGUUUCUCUUCAAGUUAGUUAGUGCUUUCAACUGUUGUUUACGGUUUAAGGUCAACGGAGUCUCUAAACUGUUUUUUUCAUUUGCUUUCUGCAGCAAAAGCUCCUGCGACGCUUCGACCAUCAAGUACUCCUCUACACAACAACAUCAGAAAUGAGGAUUUAUAGGAACUUCUGCCCGGAACAUGGAAGACCUUGACAGUACACCGAGGCUGAGAGCUAUCUUCAAUUUGUAGAAAGAACGCUGAGGAAGAAACAUCUGCCUCCCAUUGCACUAACUACACUCUCGAAGCACUUGAUCGUAGCUUUGUCUACAAAAAUGGCGCUAGAAAACAUCUUCCCAGAGCUCUAUUUAUUGAUCUGGAGCCCAAUGUUCUCAAUGAAGUCCGUAGGGGAACUUUCUGUCAGCUUUUCCAUUAACCUCUGGAACAACUUGGCCGGAGACAAUUAUACUGUUUAAAUGGAGAUUGGGCACUUUGUCUAGAUGGUGUGAGAGAACAUCCUGACAACUGUACUCGCUUGCAAGCAUUUUGAUCUCAGUGUUGCGGUUGUGGUGCGUUGAAGUUUUGAGCUAGAGAUCUCCCUCAAAUGUCUCCAUUUUUUCUUUCCUAUCUCGAAGUCACCAUUGCUCUUUUUGCUGGUCAACCUAACGAAUCUGGAACAUAUUAAUGAGAACCACAGGCAUGAAGGAACAUAAGGAAUUGGUAAUGAGGAAUCUGGCGAACCCGCCAGCAGCACAAAGAAAGGGCCAAAUUGCGGUGGCGACGGAAUCAGAGAAGAUACACAGUGUCUUUACGAUGUGUGAUUUGAUUGGAUUGGAUGAUCAGAGUGUUAGUAAAAGAGAUAAUUUUGGGGCUUAAAUAUUUGGUAUCAUGCAGUCUUGAUAUUCUUACGUUUUCGGGUUAACGGGAAAUCUUUUUCAGCUCUUAGCUUUUAUCAAUCAUCUAUAUCAUGACCUAACCUUAGUUAUCUUUAUUAUCUACUUUUUGGAGAUUAAAACCUUAGUUUGGUCUACAUUUUUUUUAUCUGUAUUCUUAUAACCUUAAAGAAAGGUUGGUGAUAUUAUUUUUUUAA